rnacentral:rRNA from 2 species
GUGCGAGACCGAUAGCGAACAAGUACCGUGAGGAAAAGAUGAAAAGAACUUUGAAAAGAGAGUUAAAGAGUACCUGAAACUGCUGAAAGGGAAGCGAAUCGUAUCCAGUGUCUAUAAUCUGCGGCAUAUUUCAUUGGCGGCAGUGUGCGUGCUUUUGCGUCGGAAGCGGCUUUUGUUGCUCUGUGCUUUUGCUGUGCGUGCUGUUGCUGGUGCCCUGUGUUGCGGUGGGACGUCAGAGUCAGUUCGUAUGCUGCGGGAAAUGGCCGCCGAGGAGGUAGGUCAGGACUUCGGUCUUGGCUGUUAUAUCUUGGUGGUUUGUUGUCGUGGUUGGGACUGAGAUGCCUACAAUGUGCUUUUGAGUGUGCCGGGUUCUCAUUUGGUGGACUGUUUGGAUAGCUUGCUAUGCUUGUGGUUUUUUCAUCGAGUGAUUGAGUCUGGUGGUAACUUGUUGCUGUUCGGGACUUUGA